GUGCCAGCCGCCGCGGUAAUACGUAGGUGGCAAGCGUUGUCCGGAUUUAUUGGGCGUAAAGCGAGCGCAGGCGGUUUUUUAAGUCUGAUGUGAAAGCCUUCGGCUCAACCGAAGAAGUGCAUCGGAAACUGGGAAACUUGAGUGCAGAAGAGGACAGUGGAACUCCAUGUGUAGCGGUGAAAUGCGUAGAUAUAUGGAAGAACACCAGUGGCGAAGGCGGCUGUCUGGUCUGUAACUGACGCUGAGGCUCGAAAGUAUGGGUAGCAAACAGGAUUAGAUACCCUGGUAGUCCAUACCGUAAACGAUGAAUGCUAAGUGUUGGAGGGUUUCCGCCCUUCAGUGCUGCAGCUAGCGCAUUAAGCAUUCCGCCUGGGGAGUACGGCCGCAAGGCUGAAACUCAAAGGAAUUGACGGGGGCCCGCACAAGCGGUGGAGCAUGUGGUUUAAUUCGAAGCUACGCGAAGAACCUUACCAGGUCUUGACAUACUAUGCAAAUCUAAGAGAUUAGACGUUCCCUUCGGGGACAUGGAUACAGGUGGUGCAUGGUUGUCGUCAGCUCGUGUCGUGAGAUGUUGGGUUAAGUCCCGCAACGAGCGCAACCCUUAUUAUCAGUUGCCAGCAUUAAGUUGGGCACUCUGGUGAGACUGCCGGUGACAAACCGGAGGAAGGUGGGGAUGACGUCAAAUCAUCAUGCCCCUUAUGACCUGGGCUACACACGUGCUACAAUGGAUGGUACAACGAGUUGCGAACUCGCGAGAGUAAGCUAAUCUCUUAAAGCCAUUCUCAGUUCGGAUUGUAGGCUGCAACUCGCCUACAUGAAGUCGGAAUCGCUAGUAAUCGCGGAUCAGCAUGCCGCGGUGAAUACGUUCCCGGGCCUUGUACACACCGCCCGU
rnacentral:rRNA from 1 species